CACACGGCUGUGGUGGCAGCCUGGGUUACGGGGCUAGUGGCUGGUGGUCACAGUUGUCACUUUAAAGUUCCUUCUUCUCCUCAUUUCCUUGACUGUGCUCUUUAGAAGGGAGUCUAUCUCUACAUUCCACAUUUAAGUGGAGAUGUUUGGUCUGCGGGCAGAGCUGUGUAGGGUGUGGCCACAUUGUUUUAGGAACUUCCCUGUGAUGCCAUGAGGUGGAUCAUUUCGACCCUAAUUUGAACAGAUUGAGAAAUACCUCGAGCACUGGCAGAAUUGUGUUCUGGGUAGGACUGUGAGGAUGUUUCCAGAGAAGACGGAAACUUGGUGUCCAGAUGUUUCAGAAUCCAGAUGGCCCAUGAAUCCUCUAUUACCCAGAAAGGAGGCCGAUGUGCUAGAAAGUGGAACAUUUAAAAGGAAAAACAUCAUUUAGCACCGGCAUGGAAUGACAGCAUACAGGGCUCAAGGAAAGGCUUCCUGUGCUGAAGCAGCAACUUAAAAAUCACGCAUGAGGCUCCAUCAGCAAACCUGGUUUCAGCCUUGCUUCUUCCCCCAUCACCAGUAAGAGGCCUGCAGAGGUCCACCCUCUCUAAAGGGCCAACAGCAUGGAAGAACGCUCACGUACAAUUUAAAGUAGCAGCUAAAAUUGGAAUGGUCACAAGAAAGCCCGCUUCUUUGCAAUUAAAUUGACAAGCUGUCUGUGAUUACCCUAGGGAACUUGGCAGCCGAGUGAAAAAAAGGCUGCAAGUGUUGAAAGGUCUAACACAACUUACUAAGUGGACAAAGACCACAUCUGCUUAAUAUACUGAUUGGGAGAGUUGUGGAAUGCGCUUGGCUACAUUAGGCAAGGAGAGAUGCUAAUGAUACCUUUCCCUCCUUAAAACCCUCUGCUCAGGACCCAUUUUAUAAAUUUCCCACAAAUAUUUGGAAGCAUGCAUUGAAACAAAAAUUGCUGCCCAGCCAUACAGUACGGAUUUUAUUUACUAUGAGCCAACCAUCCCAGAUUACCAGAAUUGAGCCAAAACCUCCCCUCAAGUUAUGUGAAAGUUAUACGCAAUUGAUACAAAAACUGGAUACAGGAGAGACCCUGUCUGGUAACAAUCAGCAACUGGAGAUGGCGGGGCGGAGGGGAGGGGGACAGUCUAGCACAGCUAUUUAUUAGGCAAGAAUUACGUGGGAUUUCCAUUGUUAGGCCCUUUGAGUGGGGCAAAGUUGAAACUUAGGUUACAAAAGGCAGGCACAAUGGUAGUAGAUUUUGCAUAGCAGCAAUUUGUGACACAUACACACAUGUCCAUUUCAUCUGUGUCUUUGUAAGUUUAGUGUUCUGUCUUUUAUAAGGAAAAACGCACGCAUUGAUAUUCCCUUCCAUUAAAUAAGGGGGUGGUGGCUAUUUCUGUUUGACUGUGUGCUCUCUCCGAAGGAUGAGGAUUGUUUAAUUUAGCAAUCCUGGAAAUGGCUUGUGACAAAUUCCAAAGCAGGACUACCCUGAGCAGGAUUUCUGAAGCACAGUACCUUUUACGACCCCAGCUUUCAUGUCAGAAAGAGAGAUUUCUCCGAUUACCUGGCCAUGUUGAGACCUGGUCUUUGAGACUGUGUGGAACCUCAAGAAAAUUAUUCAGUGCUCUUAGGCCACUUAGGUACUCCAUGCUUGUCAACAUUGCAUAAAUAUUCCUUAAUAUGUCCUUUGAACGAAUUAAUCAGUACCUUUUAGAAGUACAACACAUUGCACUUUACAGAUUUUUUUUUUCCCUCCAACAUGUUCUUUUUCCCCCCUUCCUCAUAACAGCUCUGUGGAUUAGAUUUCGUCCCCACUUUAAAGAUGAAGGAAGGGACUCUCGGAAAGGUUAAGUGAGUGACUUGCCUAAGGUCACAUAGUAAUUGGCAAAGCUGAGAGUCUUUGCGCUAUAAUCAAAGAGAGUCUGAGCGCUGGGCCUAAUGUGGAGCAUAGUGUGAGAUGUUUUUUAAAAAAAGUCCUUCAUUUGCAAAACCUAAGUCAACACAUUUGUGUAAAUUGAACAUUCAAACUUCCCUUUUGGGAUAACUGGAUGAGAUGAUACAUGUCUGCUGAUGCCUUCAGCCAGACUCCGAAGACUCUGAAUCUAAUUAUUGAGGAAAAAAAACCCUCGUGCUCCUUCCUCCCAUCAUGCUGAAGGUUGUACACUUAUGUACUCAUUACGUGAGUUUUCUAAGAAAAUGUGCAUCUGGUAAGAGACUGCUGUAACAUCGCUGUUCCGAAAUGCCCCCACGGCUACAGCUUGUCCAAUGCUUUGUACGAAACUGGAACGGAAUGUUUUUUUUUUUUUUUUGACGCUAAUUAUGAUUUCUGACAGAUAGUAACCAAAUCGUGCUCAAAAAUGAUAGUUUGAGAUCAUCCAAGUCUCGAUUAUCCAUGGCAAUAGGGACUAGAAAUAGCAUGGAUAAUUGAAAGCCAGAGACAAGUACAAACCUCAUUUUACAAAUAGCUCCAGUUUCAUCCCUCAGCAAACCCUUAACUGUAGCUGAUAACAUAAUUAAGGUGCCUAGUUCGAGGUUUUAUCUUUCUGUCUUGCUCUGAUUGAGAUAUUGCUAAAUGGAAAACUCACUUCAAAAAUAGGUAAAGAAGGAAUAAA